UCAAGAGUUCUCUUUUCACUACAACUAGGAUAGGAGUCCACUGUCUGGCAGUUUUCAAAGAUUCAUAUGACUUUUUUUUUUGUACCAGAAUUGAUUCCCUGUUGCAAGCAUUUAUUUAAAAGCAAACCCAACAAUUUAAAAAAAAAAAAAAGCCAGCGAAUGCAUAAGAAAACUAAAAUUAUAUGUGCGCGUAUCUGUCUUUUUAACCUCUGCUGUGUGCUCCUGCUUAGUUCUGAGCUUCAGAGAUGACACCCAGCUAGCUGGGAGGAGAGGGGCCUGGGGUCUCCUUCUGGUUUCUCGCCAGCUCAGUGACUUUCCUAUCCAGGAUCUGCCUUGCUGCUGGAGACAGACUGGGGCUGUGCCCAGCCCCGCAGCUGCUCCCCACCACCCUGUUCCUCUUGGGUGAAGCAGGAAAAGCCCGGCUUGUUUGUGAUAAUCAGGGAAGAGAGUAGCUGUAGCAACCUUGGCCUGGUGACUAGUCACUGUUUCCUGUUCCUUGUUUUGGGGAAAGCUUACCUGCUCCAUGGGCCUCUUGUCUCCCAAGGGGUCCUGGUGGGUAUGAACUGUGCUCCCACCGUGGCUCUGGGGUUACCCAGUUGUAGCUCUCUCAACAAGGUGGGUGCAAUCCAGAGGGAUUCCUAUUAACAGUGCAGAAGGAGUGACUUUAAUGCCCUAGCUUCUGUGCAGCUACACCAAGUUGUGUGUUUUCAAAGUGGGCAGUGGUGCAUAGGCUGGUUGGUGAUUGUUCCUGCCAGCUCUUGGAGGAGAGUGUGCCCGGGUGUGCAAGUGUGCAGGUGUGUGGUGCGUGGAGCAUUGCUGUCCUCAUUAAUCAUUAAUUCCCCCAGAGCUAACCGCUACCAGCACUGAGCGCUCUUUAUACUUUCUAACAAGUUGUUGUAUAGUGAGCGGUUCAGUCACUCCAGGAGGGGACCAGGGACUGAAAGUCCACUGUUCAUGUCCAGCCUCAGCCUUUGCAGGCUUUGUUGGUGGAGUAGUGACAGUGCCCCAGUUCACAGUAAAACACAGAGGGCCUGCAGUCUUCAGUGGGGGAAGGGAAGUAGUGGACUGGGCCAGGAAUGGCCAAGUUGGCUGCCCUUGCCUAGGCUGUGGGUGGUUUUCACAAUCUUCCCCCCCACAGAAGUUGCCAUGCAGGCAGCUCCCAGCUCACUUGCCUUUGCUCCAGUUAGAGACAGCAAGCCAACGUCCUGGCUUCAGCUGAGCUGGCUUUCGGAUGUCAGCAUCUGCCUUGUGAUGGAUGCGAUGGAUGUAGGAGCAGGGCUGGAGAGUUGACCGCUACUGGGAGCAAGGAUUUGGGGGUGGGGAAGUGCAUUC
rnacentral:lncRNA from 1 species